rnacentral:rRNA from 1 species
GACAGAGAGGGCAAGCGUUGCUCGGAAUCACUGGGCGUAAAGGGCGCGUAGGCGGGAUGGCAAGUCGGUCGUGAAAUCCUUCGGCUCAACCGAAGAACGUCGGCCGAUACUGCCGUUCUUGAGGGAUGCAGAGGAGAUUGGAAUUCCCGGUGUAGCGGUGAAAUGUGUAGAGAUCGGGAGGAACACCGGUGGCGAAGGCGGGUCUCUGGGCAUCUCCUGACGCUGAGGCGCGAAAGCGUGGGGAGCAAACGGG